rnacentral:miRNA from 1 species
CUGGGAUUACAGGCUUGAGCCACCGCGCCCGGCCCUUUUCUUCUAAAUAGAAACCUAGGCAGGGUGCGGUGGCUCACGCCUGUAAUCCCAGC